GCCGCGGAGGACGUGAGGCACGCGCUCUGCCUCCGCGGCGCCCGCCCCCAGGCCUCCGGCCGCGGGUCGCCCCAGCGCGUGACCCGGGACCCCGCCCCCACCCCGCUCCAGCGCCGGGACCCGAGGGGCGGGGCCUGCCGCAGGGGGCGGGGCCCGGCGCGCCCCUCCCGCCGGAGCGUCUUGGCCGCCCCGCCCCGGGCCUUCCCCUUGUCCUGCCCAGUCCGGGGCCGUCCUGCCAGGCUCGCCGGAGUCACGCCACCGUGCUGGGGCCGGCAGCCUCCCGCCGGCGUCGCCCUGCGCCCGCACGCGCCGAAUUACCUUUGUCUCCGCUUGCCGGUCGCGAUCCCCGAGCUCUCCUCUGUACCCUCCGAGGAGCUGCGUGAGGUCUGAGUUCCCGUGGUGCCUGGACCCGCUUUCCUCCCCGCUGCUGUCUGGGGCCGAACUAUUCGAUCCUUUGAAGGCUGUUUGACUCUCCCUGGAGAAAAGAGUUUGCGUCUGAAGGGGAAGGCUGAAUUCAGCCCUCUCAGACAAUAGCUGGCUGUGAUCUUGGCCUGCAGCUUCUUGGAAAUGUCCUGUGUACCUGGCCCUUCUCAACUAUACCUUCAGCUUUAUUCUUAAAGCUUCAUGUGCCAUCCCCACAGGGCUGCCUGCUUGGAUCCCAAUCACACGACACACUGACUGGCUUUUCAGGCUUAUCCUAUGACUGGCAUUAUGUACACCUAUAAAACCAGCGUCAUAUGAACGGCCUGCCCUUAGCUCAAGAAGCAUCUCGUUUCCUAUGACCAUGGUGCUUCUAAGUACCUGAAAAGCUAAGAAUGGUGGAAUGAAUCCUGGAAAACAGCUUCCUGUGUGUGAAGUGAGUAGGGUGCCCUAUGGCGUUUCUCAAGUGAAACCCCUGCGGUGCCCUCUUCUCAAGUGGGAUAUUUCGAAAUGAUUCUACACUUUUAUACCCUGGAACCCAGAUGGGUGUGAAGAAGCAAAUUCCUGAGACGUCCUCAAGACAUUGUCCCAUUGUCCCCAUAAUCUUUAUAAUUGCAUAAUUUCUUUAACAACUAUGUCUUCCUUGUUCACAACUUUGAAUUUGGUCCAUUUUUUUGCAAGAUUGUAUGUUUUAAAAUAUUUCUGUUCUUCAUUAUGCUUCUUAUUCUCUGUAAAUAUUGCUAAAGGUGUCUAGCAGCAAUGAUGCUACCAGUGUGAAUGCUGGAUUGCUAUGUCAUUUCCUCCAUCAUAUUAAUUAUUGUAUCAUUCUUAAUCUUAAUGUCACACAAGUCUUACAGUAUAGACAAAAUACAGAGGAAUCCUUUGCCACAAUGUAACAUGAAUGCCUCUAAUUCAAAUCCUAA